AGCCAGCACAGCAAGAAGACAGACACGAGGAAGAUGCUGAAGCAUGUCCUUAAAGCCUCAAUAAUUUUCAGUGCUGUUCAGAAACUUUCGCAUCAAGUCCGUGAAAGCCAAUGUGAAAGAUGGCAUUUUAGAAAGUAAUACUGUCAAACUCAUGUUCAGAUUUUCACCAUGUAAAUUCCACGCAAACAAUCAUUUUUAAUACCCCUCCCUCCCCUUCAGUGUUUACCCAAGGCAGGCCACCUUGAACCAAUUACAAACAUAAGGGGCAGAGACAGAGUUUACUUUAUUGUCUGAAGAGGAAAAUCCUGUCUGGAAACCAUUUCUUCCUAGCACUGCCUGCACUGCACGCUCUCCCCUUCAAAACACAUCUUGAGAAAAAUUUGACAAAGAGUUCUUCUUACACAAGUUACAUGGAUGUUGCUGUGCUACAAGAAAAAUACUUAUUUGGAGACAGACUGCAUCCAUUGUCUGUUGUGACUCAGUAAAGACUUCUGACUCCCUUUGCAAGAUUAUAACCUUGAAACAAAGCUUGUGAGGUAGAGGAAAAAAGAGGGCAUCUUCUAUGGCAGUUACUAAGAGCGGUUUUACAGAGAAGACAGUAAGAACUUUCAACUAGAAAUGGGCUGAAGGUUACAAUGAGCAGGAUCAGAAAACCCACACAGGCUGAAGAGUUACUCCACUGGAUUUAUAUCAGCUCUGUACUGCUCCCUGGCUCAGCCAGCAAGAGAGAAAUCCCUGAGAGAAGCAAAAAUCACUCACGGCUGCAUCCCAGAGACACCACUGAACAUCUUGCGAUUGGUUUUGUUGGGGCAAGAGUGCACUCUGUCAGCUUAACCUGGAGCUGAUCUACAAGAAGACCCAUUUUCUUCUCAGUUCCCAGGUCACAGAACACGCAGCCAAGCACAGCCCUGCCCCAGCCAUGCUGUGACAGACAUUCAGGAUGGAAGGCUAAACCAGUCUUUGUCUCCCUCACUGGCUGUGAGUGGUAUGUUCAAUAUUCCUGUCAAAUACAUACGCUGUGCAGAACAUCCAAGGGUUUGCAGACGUUGUGUUAUUUUGAAUCAACUUAUUAUCCUUAUUAGACCCCGAGGAUCAUCAUUGCUGGUCCUGAAUAAUUCUCUGGGGAGCACAGCCAAAUGCAGUCAUUUAGAAAGCAACACUUUCCUGCUUCCUGCAUGUGUAUUCAUAUCAACAACUAUCGGUAAGCUCUACAAACUGGGGAGUAUAAACAGAUCAUUUCAGAGGAAGAUUUCAUUCUAUGAAUGACUUCUGUUUCAAUCUACAAAGGUGUUGUUUUUACAUAAAGUCUCUGUGCAACACAUGCCGAUAUUUCACGCUUAGGUUUCUGUUGCAGUCCAUUUCUUGGGGACUAUGAAAUGAUAGUACUGGAUUAAACUUCACUGCUUCUAAGGCACCUAGUUUCUAUCUGCUAUUGCAUAGAUAAGGGAUGGUGAGAGACUCAUAACAAGAAAAACCAAAAAACUUUAUAAUAAGCUUGUAUUAAAGUGGUCUGUUUGGCUUUCACAUGUGGUUAAAGUCAGAAAUUUGCUCAUAACCAGAAGCAAAUAUAAGCUCACUACCACCACUAAGUGCCAGAGGCCAACUAAUGUGGUAAUGUGAAAAACUCUGAAUGUUGAGGGAUACAGUUUGAGCAUUAAGGAUGGCAAGAACCAGCCUUGGAGCAUCUGGUUCUGUCACUAUUCUGUAGUAGCAAGAACUGUCACAAACUCAAGGAUGAAGUUCUUCAUGGGCCAAUUAAACCACACCCUGAAGGGAGAAACGUGUGAUAGCAGUGAAAAAUCUUGACGUACAUCCCUAUUAUGAGAAGAAAUAUAACAUGGCACUGUGCAUGCACUAAUCAUUCAUACCAGCACAGAAGAAUACUAGGCUGAACAAAUCAUGAGAUUGAGAAAAUAAGGGAAGUGAAUAGUCUUUUUUUUUUAAAUCACUGGGAUUAUAAAAACCACUUACUUUACUUUAGAUUUAUAUUUAAAUGUUUUGCUGAAGUAAGGUCUUUCGUACCCUAUAUUGACAGAUUGUUUAGGAAUUAUUUAAGUAUAUGGUUUAAAGCAUUUAAAUUAUUUUAUCAGUAGUCAAAAUAUAUCCCAUUUGUAUUUGAUCAUUUCAACUCUCAUUCUUUUACUUUCCAGAUUUCUGCAUUCACUGUUAAUAACCAUAAUUUGUCUUCUGAUACAACCAAGUCAUUAGGAAAUAUAUCUAUGGAUUUGAUCUUUAAAUAAAAUUAGCACAUUACUCUUGUCUGUUUGAGCUAAUCAAAAAGAUUAUUUUAGCCUCUCUGUUUAAUGAAGAAAAGUAUAUUGCAGAAGCAUAUGACCAUGGUUCAAAGCCAGGGAAGACACAGACAAAUGAUGGUAGCUUUCAGACACAUUGCCCUAAUUUCAUUCUUGCAACACCACUGUCUAUGAAUUUGGAAAGAAAUGCACAUCGAAUCCAGAAUACGUUUUUACACAACAUUAUGUAAUCCAAACAAUUGCAACAAUGGAAUAGACUUAAAAGCCUAAAUCUAUUGUAAAGCUGUAGAAGCUCAGGAAUUUCUAAGAAAUUUACCCAGAUUUACAGGAUAUUGUAAUCAAAUCAUAUAGCAACUAUGUUUGAAUUAACCUUUCAUAAACAUGUCUUGAACCUACAUCAUGCAAUUCAGUAUGGCUGAGUUGGCCAUAGCAAUUUCAUAGGACAUUUGUCCGAUGUUUAUAAAGUGUAAGUUUUUGUUUGUUUGUUUAAAGGAACUGUUUUGUCUGUCGAUAGGUUCUAGAAAUACAUAGCACAAAGGUUUAUAUUUUUUGUCCAAUAAAUGUCCAGUCAACCCAGGAAAACCAGGACAAGUCCAGAAGGAUGAGAAAGAAACCCACUUCAUAAUAUUCCACUGUGGUUAAGGUACUCUUCCACAAGCAUCCUAUUCCUAUAAAGUGGAAAGGUAUUCCCUUAAACUAGAAAGAAAAACAAAAUAAAACAAAAUGUUCUGUUGUUAACAAAGAAGAAUAGUACAAGAUAGAAUAUAUAUAUAUAUAGGGUAUUGACACUAAACCUCCCUAUUUAUCUCAAAUUUUUUAAAACAAAAAAUUAAAAAUCAGUACAUAGGCUUUCCAUAUUAAAAAUAUCACUUCCACUUGUGAUUAUUCUCUAAUUUUUACUCAGAUUUGAAAAUGGUAUCUCUUUGGCCAAAGCAACAUGCUUCAUACAGAACUAUGAACUUCUGUUAGCCAGAGAAGAUAGCUGCAUUCCCCUAACUUGAAAGUGAUGAGGCAUUACAAUAACUGAAUUUGUGCAACUUGAAUUACCCAAAUUACCCAAAAACUAAGAAGAUUUUUUAUAUCUAGAUGUUAAUUGGCAGAUAGUUGGAAGAGUGGAAGAAUUCAAGGUAAACUUCAGAUGUAAAAACUGAUAGAACCCAAAGGACAACAAAAUACCUCCCAAACUUCAUAUCCAGACACCUCAUCCUUCCCUCUCAAAAAUCCUGACUCUCACGAAACAGCACAUAUUCACACUGCAUAAAAUCACGUAGUUAGUCUUGCAGAUCAUCAUCUGUAAUGCUCUGAGAAUGCCAUGGUAUUUCUGCCACCACGUUCUGUGAUCUGGUAUGGAAGUGUGUGAGACAAGUUUGCAAUUUUGAAUAUUUUUUGUGUAUGAGGCUCUGUAGCAAGCAUGCUUAUAUCCCGGUACAAGCAUUUUGUAAUUCAUAUCGUUGCAUUGUCCUUCAUUUUCACUCCACACGUUUCUUAGCACUGAUAAUUUUUCUGAGAAGUCUAAGAAAUAAGAUAUGCCUCCCACAUUGUGACAAAGAGUGUCUAAGUGCAAUUCUGUGUCCUCUGUUAGCUGUGAUUUGAAAUGGCAUCUCCCUUUUGUUCCAUCACAGCAAACUUGUGGUAAAUCUUCACUCUUGCAUCAGUCUUAAGUUAGCCCAUUUGCAAUGCACAAACAGCAGCUUCUCCACUUAGCAUAGCUCAUUUUGACUGAAGAUGAGUCACAUCUACCCAAAAGUUCAGUAGUGGCUAUGCAUUUGACAGCAAAACUUUGGAAGCUUUUAGGGAAUUUCCUCACUGUUCCUCUGUAUUCUUUGUCCUAACAACUGCUGUUUUAUUCCUCUUUAUUUUAUUAGUUAUUAUCAGAUGAUAGAACUAUAAUAGUUCAGACCUGGGAGAGGUUGAAUUUUACAUUAUGGCAAAUAUUAAUAAUAUAAGAUGUUUUUGUGCUAUUUGAUUGGAAGAAUAACAGAACAUUUCAAAGAGCUCAAACUCCCCUAGGGUUUACAUACUUGAAAAUAACUGUAUCUCUGAAUUGCCAAAAGGGGAACAAGGGCAAACAACAAACCUUCAAAUUAAUAUUACAUUGGCAGCAGGUUUUUACAGACUACUAUCAGGGCUGUGUGCUGACUCCCUGGCUUAAUGAACAGCUUGAUUUAAAGCUUAAAAUUAUUAAGUGUUCCACCAGAGUCAUAAAUAAUGCAGUUUAUAAUAUUCAGAUUGAGCACAUAAAACUACAUUUGUCUUCCAUUAACAACGCACUUUUUAAGUAGCCUGACCUCUUCAGAUAUAUAAGAACAUGCAAUUAGUGCAAUUUGUCACAGGUCCUUUACAUUUUAAUAAGAUGUAAUUAAUUGUCUGUUUAGUCUAAUUAACUUUGAAACCCUGACAGUUCUUGCUCUCUAGUAUAAAGCAAGCUCCUUAUUUGAAUUGCUAAUAUUGGACAGAGAGUCUCCAAACCACAGUAAAUUCAAAUCUGUGUACCUUUGCAGAUUAAGAGACACUGGACUAACCUACUAAUAUUUGCAUUAACUUUUUCUAAAGUCAUUUUCAGCAAUCUGUGCCAACACAUCUGCGUCAAUAAAAUAUGGGAGUCAAUGUUUGUGAAACAGACAGAGUAGAGUUUCAUUAAUGAACCCACAAUGGUUCUACGUCAGUCAUACUACCCAACUAUGUUUCAUACAUGAUUUAAGAAAUGAAUUAUGGACUCUGCUGGGGAUGUAAAGUCAUUAAGCCCUUUCAAGUUACUCUGCUCAUCAGGGAAAGAUAUUGGCUGCAUGGAAGUAACACUGAACAGAUUUAACUGCUAAAAGCUUUAGAACUCUGAUUUUUUCUUUUCCCUCCAAGCUGUAUUAGAUUAUGAGAAUGUAUCUUGAUUUUAAUGCAAAUUUUUUACUUUAAAAUACAAUGAGUUCUCCCUUGAUGAUUUUAAAUGCUUAGAGGAUUGUAUUUGCCAUGAUAAAUUGCACUUAGUUCAACUGAAUAGCAAAGGGCAGACUCUGAAAUACUGUCCUCUUUUAAAUAAAAUCAUUCUCUGUAAAUGAUCCUGCAGAAGUUAAUGAUCCUCUUCAGAACCACAGAAACAAGAGAAUGCGAGAAUGUGUACAGAAAAACGCAUGUGGAAAGAACAAACCAUUCAGUGAAGUGUUGAUACAUGUUCAAAAAGAGCAUAUAUAAUACAUUCAAUGGAAGUUUUAGCAAGUUGAAAUAAUAUUUUAUUUCUUAUUCUGAAAACAGGAAUAAUUUCACAGUCUGAGCCUUGUUGCAUGACCCUCACAGAAUGCCAAGUAAGGGGAUAUAUAAAUCUCGCCUGCUAUAACACAGACACUGACAGGGACAGAAUGAGCACCAAAGCAAAUAUGAGGAGAUGGUUGGGAAGAACAUUAAUCAAGGCAUCUUUUCUACAGCUUAUCACAUCUUCUCUUGUGUAACUACACCAGUAAACAUUUUUGGCAGUGUCAGAUUAAUCCCAAUCUCCAUUUAUCUUAGCAUAGCAAUAGACAGUAUGGGGACAGACAUUUGUAAGGAAGCAAGUAGUGCUUCCCUCCUUUUGGAAUUUUAAGUCAUUUCUUCCACCUUGAAAUAAACAACUUCUCCAAAUAUUAAUCACCUCAAGUACGAUCACUGCUCAGCAAUAAUAAUGACACCAAUACUGCAGGACUCUAGCCAAAUGUAAACCGAACAGGAAAAAAAACACAACAAACAGAACAAAACAAAAUAACAACAAAAACAACAACAACAAAACAGAACAAAGAACAGUCAAAAUGACUAAUACCUAAAAUGAUGAGAGAAGUUGAAGACAUUCUGUAUUUAUCAGGGAAGAAGAAGCAUUGGUGCCCCACUUCUCCUGUAGGUCUUCAGAAAGACAAAGAACAAUUUUCAUAUUCUUACAUUCACAAUGAACAGACAAAAUUCAUAAAAAUAUGUGCAAAAUUCACGUUCUUAUUUUGUAUUGCUGAGUAUCUCUUAUAAGUUUCAUUUCUAGCAAUAUCACUGACUGUUCUCGACCAAACAGACUUGAAAUCCGGUCCCAGAAUUUUUCUACAUGAAUUCAGCUGGACUACUGGAAGAAAAAAAAGAUAGUACAACUGCUUAGUUUUUCAGGGCUAGGAUCCCAUUUACCUAAGGUUACCUAAGGAAGUAACAGAAAAGGAAAAGGGAGAAACCACAUACGAGGUAGUAAACAUGCUUAAAACUUUUUUGAUCCCUGUGGUUAAACCAAUCAACCAGAAUACACAGUUUCACUGACCAUCUCCUUACCCUUCGGUUUCUUCUGAAAUCAACGUAACAGAAUCACCUCAAGCAUACAAAAUAAAUAUAAAAAAAAUAAUCAAAUGACCAAUAAAAACUGCACACCUGCCUCAUCAUUAGUCAAAGGCAAUCUUGAUAGUGAGGAAUUUGGAUAACUGGAGAAGGGGGGAACAAGAUGGUAGCUUAAAUUUAGGUAAGUUUUAAACAUUCUAGAGUAUAAGAAAAAACAAAUAUAAAUCAACCCUGAAGUUGUAAUAAUUAAGAAAAACAAAAAGAAAUUUCAGUAAAAAUGAGUACAAAGCGUCAUGCAUAAAUGACAAUAGUGAAGAUAGGGCAAAGUAGUAUUCCGCACAAGACUCCACCUACUCUUAACUCCUUUUAAACCCAACAAACCUCAGCCAAAAUACUGCCUCCAUCUGGCACUAGGCGCCUCACUAUAAAGAAUAAAGACUAACUAGAAGUGUAGAGAAUAUCAAUGGGAAGGAAGUUUGCAAAAAAAAAAAAAAAAAGUUGAAGGAGUUAGUUUAGGAACUUCAGAAAAGAUAAGGCCAAAUGGCACAACAAGAGAUUCCCAAAUAUGUAACAAGUUGUUCUUAGCUCAUAGUAAGUAAUCUGUCUCUGCUGGGGUAGAGAGGAAUUAAAUAUUGCAUACUAGUGCGAUGUGGGGAGGAAUAAUCCUUGCUUAGCCAUAAGAGAAACUUUCUUUAACCACUUGGUUUCAAAAAUAUGUCAGCAAUGUGUCUUGUAUAUUUGUUUCAGAGCACAUAAUUAGAUAAUUUUAUGGUCUGAAAACCAUUUUAGGUCAAUCUUUCAAAGAAUUCUAAUAACAUACAGAAAAUGUUGUUCCUAUUAUACAGCAACAUUUGAAUGGAAAUGAACUUGUAACAGUAGUGACAUGCAAGUUAUGAAACUAAAUAAUACCCAAGAUUAAAUAACUUUUUGUAUACCUAUAAGAACAGAAAGUGUUCUUACAUGAAUAUAUUCUAAAUUAAUGUGUGCCGGAGGAGAAAAUCACUGAAGAACUUUAGCAUUGUUGGCAGUAGUUGACAUGCAGGUGUGAUUGAUGUCUGCCUUUCCUCCAAGGAUGAGUGGAAAGCUGGCAAAUGCCACAUAUACAUAAUGCUUUGAAUUUUAAGCCAAAUUGGUUUUCAGACAUCGUACUUGACAUUUCCCCUUCAUACUUCAAAUUAUUCCUUGGUACAAAUUGCAUGUUUAUAUGUGUUUUGCUGUACCGUCUGGUUUGAUCAUAUCUCCUUUAGGCUUUCUUGAGGCAGCUGCAGUUAUAAAUAGGCCAAGAGCACUGCUUGUAGUAAAGAUGAAAUAGAGAUUACCUUUGCCAAAAAAAAAAAAAAAAAAAAAAAAGGAGAAAAGACAAGAAAAAGCUGAAACCUUUAGAUGAAGCCAUUAGCAGAACACUGCAUUUUUAUUUUUAUUCCACUUAUACUAAACUGCCACCCAGGCUUCUACUGUUUGCCUCUAUUAAGAGGCAGCAAAAUAAUAAAGGAGAUCUUUGGCCUUCCUGAUCUGUUUUAUGAAGUUGAAGUAACAAAGCCACAGGGAGGAAUUUUAGAGGGCUCAUUGGCAUACAGCUGGCCCUACUGCAGUGGCCUAAUAAGGUUCAGAAGGAUACAGACUGCGAGCUGAGGAACACAGACGCAAUUUGUGGACAUGAAAGAUGCCAGUGAAGGCUUUACUCAGGAUCUCCUGUGACGCUGCUGUGCUGCUGACUCUGGUUUGUCAUGCACCGUGCCUGUUCCUGAAUAAGAUAACCUGAUCUAUGCCUCAGGCCUUCCUUCUAUUUCAGUUUUUGUUUCAUCAAAACAGGGGGGAUGGGCAGAGAGAAAGAAAGAAAAAAAAAAAAGCAGAGUUUCUAAGUUUACAGGUCAUAUAUUCACUACCUGGAGACAUACACAAAGACUAAAGGAACAAGCGUGACAGCUAUGCUUAUUGUUUCAUUAAGGUCUGUAACUGCAAAUCCUGAGUCUGUGUUGCAACUACUUGGUGAGAUAAAGUCUAGCUGUGGAGUAGCAAAUUAGAAUUAGAAACUGGAAAGAUAUCUAAUGAUCAGCAAACAGACAGUUUGCUUAAACACUUAAGUAUAGCAUAUUGAUUUGCUCACUGCCAUAUUCAAGCAUAACUAAAAAGAUAAAAUCCUGAGUAAAGAAGGUAGAACUCCAGAUAUCGAUCCCCCGACUCAUAUUGAUAAGUGCAAGUUAAAAUGUAAAUAUAAACGGAGCCUCGAGUUUCACCUCAAAUAAAACCCUCAGGCAUGCUGAGGAAAUUUGAACGGUGAAGAUCUGCCAACAGGCAUAACAGUUUGCUGAACUGUAGCACUCCAAUUAGAAAGAUAAAGAUGCAGAGGUAGUAGCUGUAAAACACUCAGUUUCACAACCUUGGCCCUCUCUUUUCCUUCACAGAAAAACAAGAGGCAGCUGUCUGGCUCUGUUAGGUUAGCAGCUGCACGUCCUUCAGCAGUGGAGUUUAAAACAUCUAAAAGAACCUCAAAAUGGACGCAGGUCCUUCUGUUCAAAUCCUGGGACAGAAAAGUAUCAGCGCUCCACAAAUCGCUCAUUUUAACACCAAGCUGCCUCGCAUCAACUUAUUUUAUAGUCAUCAAGUUCAGCGUUAUCGGUGAAUGUUUCAUAAAAUGUCCUGAACCCAGAAUCACCUCUGAAGCAUUAAGCUGACCCGGGGUUUUUUAAAAUUAUAUUCACAGCACUGAUUAUGGUGCAAGCUGUGUAACUUCCUGGCCUGGAGCUACACCUUUGACAUGAAUACAAUAAAUUUGUGUUAAGAAUACAAAAGGAGAGAUAACCAAGUUUCCCAUUCACAACUCUAGCAAGUAGUGCGAUUUCCAGAAGUUGAUUGAUGCACUGAACUCUCAUUUAUUUUCAGGGCAAUUUUACUUGUUAAGAGCUGAUAGGAGUGCUCACUAUUCUAGAUUCUAUUAAAUGCAGAAUAAAAAAGGCCACAGCACUUCAGGUCUGAAGCUCCAACACAUCAUAUUCUUUGACACCAUUCUGUUCAAAACAAGUUCAAACAAAACUGCCCUAAGCUACAGUACAGUAAUCAUUAAAACUAAAUCUAAGUUAAUAUCGAAUGCUGUUAACUUUCAUAGCAGUGCUAGUCAAGAAACACCCUGAUGGGAAGCUGACAAUUUUAGCUGUUAUUAUCAUCUUCUUUCUCAGAACCAGCUGGAUGCUUUAAAGGUGGAAUUGUAUAUUUUCCAUGUUUCGAUAUCAUAUCUUAGCACAAAGGCAUAUCUACACAAAUGCAAGCUGGUCUGUGCACUUCUGUUUAUCUCUUCAACUUGUAAUGAAUCUUUCAUUUUAAUCUAGGACUUAUCAGAAAACAUUAACUCACCAAAACUUCUAAUUGAAUCAUCUGUCAAAGAUUCCAAAAGAAGCAUCAUACAAAAGCACUAUAUACUUCAGGCCCUUUAAUCCCCUGCUUUCUCUGCCACCAGGCUCCUUUCAUAUUCACCUUGGGACUUCGGAGAAGGGCACAGAAUCAUAAAAUCACAGAAUCCUUAGAGUUGUAAGGGACCUUUAAGGCCAUCUAGUCCAACUCCUCUGAAAUGAACAGAGACACCACAGCUACAUCAGGUUGCCCAGGGCCUUAUCCACUCUCUCCUUGAAAGUCUCCAGGGACAGGGCAUCCACCACAUCACGGGGCAACCUGUUUCAGUGCCUCACCACCCUCACUGUAAAAGACUUUUUCCUUAUAUCUAACCCAAAUCUACCCUCUUUAAGCUUAAAACCAUUUCCUCUUGCUCUAUCACAACAGUCUCUGUUCCUGUAGCUCCCCUUUAGAUACUGGAAGGCUGCUAUCAGGUCACCUCAGAGCCUUCUCUUCUCCAGGCUGAACAGCCUCAGCUCUCUCAGCCUGACAUCUCACGUUGAAAAGUUUUCAAAGCAUUCAGAUUCAAACCACCAAUAAACGAAAGAAACAGCAAGAGGAGAAUUACUGCCAACUUGUAUCACUUGAUAAAAUAAUACUUGCUGCACUUAAAUAAAAAAUAAAUCAAGCCAAAGACACAUUGUCCUGAAUUUGCUUAAUAAACAAGUUUAAAAAUUACUCUCAAUAUUGAUUCCAUCAGCAUCUGACUAUAGUAUAUACACACUAGUUUAUACCUACCAAUAAACAGUAAUGAUUUAGACAUCUUCACAUGCAAGACUGUUAUCAGUUCUGACUCUUUAAAAAAAAAAAAAGUGAAAUAAUUUUCUUUUAUAGGAACUAUAAGCAAGUGGCAUGCUAAUUUAUUAAUUCGUACACGUGUGAAAUGUAUGAUUACUAUGUGUUUUUUUUUUCCUAAAAGUAGAGACAUAACAGAAAUAAGGUGUAGUAUUUAAAAUAUUUACCUGUUAUUUUCAUGGGAGUUAAAACAGGUUAGAAAUAGGCAGGUUCGGGCAUUUUGAAUUACAAGUGCUGAAUUUUUAAUGUAUGGAAAUCUGAAUAUUUGCUCUCUAUGGAAAAGCUUAGCUAAUGAGUUGCCAACAGCCAUUUUCUUGCCCUGGAAGAAAACCUGAGGCAUUUACAUAGCUCUUAUUUGUUCUUUAUUUAGGCAGACUUGCUGACUUCAGUGGGAACUUAGCAGUGCAAGAUCUGGAAGUAAAAAUUGAAUGAAGACAUUAACAUCUGUUCACCUGGAAAGAGUACCUGGAUUUUUUUUUGGCUUACUUUAUACCCAGUGCUGAAUAAAACAGGCAAUGGCAUGGUUAUUCACAGAAUAUUGUGAAAUGGAUCAUUUUGAACAACCCACUAGAGAGAUUAAGAAUAGAGGAGAUACCUGAUUUUCUGAACUAUACAUUGAAAUUCCAUCUUUGAAUAGUAGCAGUCAAGCAGAGCUUCAGCUGCAUAAAAGGGGACUACACAAAUGCUUCUAGCAUACUUAAAAGCCUCUUUGUUAUACUGAAGAGACAAACUUAAUAUAAACUAUAAAAUGAACCUCAUUAUACAAUGCUGAGACUCCUACCGAAGCAAUAUCAUGACAGUACCUUAUAAGCUUUGUGCUGAACGAGUGUACUGUUUUUGCCCUCAUUUCUCCUGUCUUCCUGUAAGGCUGAAAAUUACCUAUUUUGGCCUCGUCUCAUACCAUAGCUUUCACUUGGUUAUGGGUUCUCAGGAGCACACUUUGGACUAGUGUUUUACAGAGACAUAUGGUACAGAUGUUCUGUGAAUCCUUCUAGACUAAAUGUCUAUUUACAUCAGUUGCCUGUUAUGCUAACACAGUAGACUAAAUGACUUGUCCUUAAUCUGUAUUCUUAGGGAAAAACCUUUAGCUUUAAAUGCUCUGUCCUACUAUUCUCUGCUAUGGAUGCUCCAAAUUCUUUCUCCUCACUCAAAUGGGCUUUAGGAUGCAAUUCUCCAAAAAUGAUAGUAACAAAAUGUCAUGACUUUAAAUCUCCCAAGAAUCAUUUCUCAUGUAGCUUGCUCUGAAAGUAAUCCCUUCUAUUUAUUAACAUAGAAAUUGCAACAGAUACAAAGAGCACAGCAACAUCAUUUGAUAGAGCAAAUUCUCCGCUACAAAACACUAUUUUUCAGCAUCAUCACCACCACUAUGGAUUUUCACCAGCCUGCAUGCCACGCUCACAGAAAUCUGCACCAACAGAGAUAACCCACUGUUUCACAGCUGCUACUACAGCAUCACUGCUAGGAAGAUGUUGCCCACACAGUCCACACAGUUCAUUAGGCCAAACAGAUAGAAAGCAUCAAAUCCAGACGGCAUAGUGGGUGUGGUAGGACACACUGGCAAUGUGCUCCACAGUCUUUAAACUGAUAUGGGACCUGGUGUUAUGUGUUACAAGAACAAGAUUUUCUUUUUUGGCCUGACACAAGAAGUUUGAGACUUCAGUGUAGUCAGCACCACAGUGUAGCAGUCAGGGUUGAUGGCUUGUCUGGGUUCCAGGAAAUCUAGAAGAAUCUCUCUGUUAAUAUCCCAUAAGACACUGCACAAUACUUUACUCACUGAGUAAAGUAUCUUGAACAUUUUCAGUGGAGAAUUAACAUUUCAUCACUCCAUGGACUGCCAUUUUGACUCUGGCUCAUAGUGGUGACAUUACACCUUAUCUCUCAUCCAGAAAACUGUCACCUUCAGCCUCAUAUUUGUUCAGUAGGUUCUGACAUACAGUGUUGCAUACGGUGUUCUUUCUCCUCUUACGUGAGCAUUCAUGGGGCCCACUUGGUGCAAACUAAUAUUCCAAGAUGGUCACCAUCGUUUUCAAUGCACCAAAGCUGAUAUUCAGCUCUAUACACAUAUCCCUGCUUGUAAUCCAUCAAUUUGCCUGGAUGAGCUGAUUGAGACACUCUCCAUUUUGCGGCGUGACAGCUGGGCAUGGUCAUACAGAACGUGGCCAUUGCCUCAUUGUACUAACACCCACCUUUUAGUUUCUAUAAACAUUCAGUAAGAGUUAAUGCAUGUUAAUAGGUGCAGUCUUUUCUGCAUGUAGGAAUAAAGUGACACACCUAUGCUUCAUAUGCACUUCCAUGUCAGAUGCCAAUUUGUCAGACUGCCCCUCUGCUGCCACCUGUUACACAGCAGUAAAAUGGAAUGAAAUACUCGCAGGAAGGGUCAGUCUCUAGUGCCAUACCAUUAACAUCUGCUUCUGAUGUUGUGGGCCAACAUCAUAAAAUAGGAGGGCAUUUCUUCUGGAGCAGUCCUCAUAGUUUUUGUUUACUUUUCCAUGCAUUGGAGGAAGUUACAGUGACACCUGAGACCUUUAAGUAAUAAAUGCUCCUGACUAGCACAGAAACAACCAACUCCACACAUACAAGAGGAGUACACAAAGAAAGUUGAAAUAAGUUUCUUUAUCUCACUGAAGUAAUGACUAGAUUUUGAAACAAGAAUUCCAUACAAAAGAAGGAUAGUAGCUUAAGCCUUUGAAGGCAAAAAAAAAAAGUCUGAUUUCUCCAUAGGAAGAUCUGAGAUAUUUCUGCAUCUGCUUCUGUUUCUUUAUUUGAUCAGGUAUUUUCAUUAUAUUAAAGGUAUUAAGCAUUCAUAAAUACAAAUAAAAGCAUUCUUAUAAAGCAGCCAAGCAAUGGCUUCCUUUGCAACCAAGAACAACUCUGAUUCUUUUCUCCCCAAUCCCAUUUUGGUUUCUUGAACAUGAAUGUCUUCAGCCAUAAAAAAAACAACACCAAUAAUAAUAAUAAUAAAACACAUAGUAAUUGAAAACUUACUGGCUAAUUUCCAUCAGCUUUGUAAAGUAUUUGUAUUUUAUAUUAUUCUCCUUCACUUGAUUCUUUUGAGCAAGUCACAGAUGAUCAAUUACUCAUUUUCUCAACCAUUAAUAAAAAUCAGGCCUUAAAUCUGAGAAAUCGCUAAGCCCUUAAAACUUCAAAGUUUGACAGCCUGAACUUCCUAUGUCAAAUGGUUAUGAGCACACUUCCAUGUCUCCACAGAUUUUAUAGCACUACUCUUGUGCAUUCUUAAUCUGAAAUCACUUUCUGCCUGAGGCUAGAACACAAAACGUAUCUUCCCAACAGAUGCAAACCUAGUUGUCAUCUAACUUACAUUAAAUGCCAUCUAAGUUAUAGUAUGUUUGUAUGUCUCUCUAUGUCAGUUGAUAGAAAUAAAAAGAAAAGUGCUCUUGGUCUACUCCAUUUAGCCAGAAAAUCCACCAAUAAAAAGGAAUAAAAAUCAGCAGAAUAUCCAAGCUGAUAAUUACUUAGUCUGCUAACAGACUCCAUUCUCAUAUUAUAAAAAUCACCUAAUACAGUGCCGGGACUAUGAACUAUCCAAACAAAAAAGAUAAUCGGCCACGGAUCAAGGAGAAUAUUUCAUGAAAUGUAGAGCUAUAAGGAUGUAAUAAAAUUGAAGCAAUACUCUAAUGAAUAUGUACUAAAUCAAAUAGAAAGGCAUUUGUGAUUUUUUUUGAAUUUAGGAAGAGAAUUAUAGUACAGUUGAGAAAGUGAUGGCAGCACUUCCUGCAGAUAUGCCUAGCUAUCUCAUCAAGCUAUCUAACCUUUUUGUUGGUUUGUUUUUGCCAGUGUGAUCAAAUACUUUGCACAAGAGAUUACAAGAUUGAGCCAAAACACACAGCAGUAUUAGAGGACUAUUGCAUUUCCUGUAGUUGAUUUUAUUUUAUUUUUUUUUAACUGGUAGCUGGAAUUCUUAAAAGAUGCACUCUCAUUACCCACUUCAUAGACAGACUUGAGCUCUUCCUGAUCAUAUAUGGUCACUCUACACUGGUAGUCAAGUUCUGCUAUAUACAGUUAUAAGAAAAUAGGUCUUAAAGGGAAGCCAAAGACCUUAUAGUCCAUCUCCAUAUGUUUCUUAGUGGAUUAAAUGGUUCCUAGUAUAACUUGCCAUUUAUUUGUGAAACCUAUACGAAAGAAACUCAGUAAGCAGAGUGACUGGGGUUUUUCUUGUUGUUUUGUUGGUUUGGAUUUUGUAUUUUAAAGCAUCAAAUCCUUCUAGCUAAUAAAAUCCAUAACUGAUUCUCAGGGCUAUCAGAAUAUCACCAACCCAACUUUUUUUUUUUUUUUUUUUUUUUUUUUUUUUUUUUUUUUUUUUUUUUUUGUGACUUACCAAAACACAGUUGGAAUUAUCUUCCUUUUCACAG
ensembl:lncRNA